GAUGAACGCUGGCGGCGGGCCUAAUACAUGCAAGUCGAACGGUAACAUGAGUAGCAAUACUUGAUGACGAGUGGCGCACGGGUGCGUAACGCGUAUGCAAUCUACCUUUAACUGGUGAAUAGCCCGAAGAAAUUCGGAUUAAUACACCAUAGUAUAUUGAGGAGGCAUCUCCUUAAUAUUAAAACUCCGGUGGUUAAAGAUGAGCAUGCGUGACAUUAGCUAGUUGGUGAGGUAACGGCUCACCAAGGCAACGAUGUCUAGGGGAUCUGAGAGGAUUAACCCCCACACUGGUACUGAGACAGGGACCAGACUCCUACGGGAGGCAGCAGUAAGGAAUAUUGGACAAUGGUCGCAAGACUGAUCCAGCCAUGCCGCGUGAAGGAUGACGGCCCUAUGGGUUGUAAACUUCUUUUGUACGGGAAAAAACCCUUCUACGUGUAGAGGGCUGAUUGUACCGUAAGAAUAAGGAUCGGCUAACUCUGUGCCAGCAGCCGCCGUAA
rnacentral:rRNA from 1 species